rnacentral:rRNA from 1 species
CAUCGCCACGGUAAAACGUAGGGUGCGAGCGUUAAUCGGAAUUACUGGGCGUAAAGCGGGCGCAGACGGUUACUUAAGCAGGAUGUGAAAUCCCCGGGCUCAACCUGGGAACUGCGUUCUGAACUGGGUGACUAGAGUGUGUCAGAGGGAGGUAGAAUUCCACGUGUAGCAGUGAAAUGCGUAGAGAUGUGGAGGAAUACCGAUGGCGAAGGCAGCCUCCUGGGAUAACACUGACGUUCAUGCCCGAAAGCGUGGGUAGCAAACAGGAUUAGAUACCCCCGUAGUCCCUGUCUCUUAUACA